rnacentral:rRNA from 1 species
UACGGGGGGGCAAGCGUUGUUCGGAAUUACUGGGCGUAAAGGCUCGUAGGUGGCCAACUAAGUCAGACGUGAAAUCCCUCGGCUUAACCGGGAACUGCGUCUGAUACUGGAUAGCUUGAGUUCGGGAGAGGAUGCGGAAUUCCAGGUGUAGCGGUGAAAUGCGUAGAUAUCUGGAGGAACACCGGUGGCGAAGGCGGCAUCCUGGACCGACACUGACGCUGAGGAGCGAAAGCGUGGGGAGCGAACAGG